rnacentral:rRNA from 1 species
AUUAUUUUAAGCUUAAUGUUGGUAGUAAGUAAAAUUUAUGAAAUCAUAAAAUUUUGGCGGUAUUUUAAGCUUGUUAGAGGAAUUUGCUCUAUAAUGGAUACAACGCCUACAUCUUACUUAAUUUUGUAAUUAAAGUCAGUUUGUAUACCACUAUAUUUAAUUAUAUUGAAUAAUUAUAUUUAAGAUUUUUAUAUAAAUAUAUAUUAAGUCAAGGUGCAACAAAUAAUUAUGAGUGAAGUGAAUUACAUUAAUUUUAAUGAUAUUUUGAUACUGAAAAAAAAAGUUAGGAUUUAAUAGUAAAAUAUUAAUA